rnacentral:rRNA from 1 species
CGAACGGGUGAGUAACACGUGAGCAAUCUGCCCUUGACUCUGGGAUAAGCGUUGGAAACGACGUCUAAUACCGGAUACGACCCUCGGAGGCAUCUCCUGGGGGUGGAAAGAAUUUUGGUCAAGGAUGAGCUCGCGGCCUAUCAGCUUGUUGGUGAGGUAAUGGCUCACCAAGGCGACGACGGGUAGCCGGCCUGAGAGGGUGACCGGCCACACUGGGACUGAGACACGGCCCAGACUCCUACGGGAGGCAGCAGUGGGGAAUAUUGCACAAUGGGCGAAAGCCUGAUGCAGCAACGCCGCGUGAGGGACGAAGGCCUUCGGGUUGUAAACCUCUUUUAGUAGGGAAGAAGCGAAAGUGACGGUACCUGCAGAAAAAGCACCGGCUAACUACGUGCCAGCAGCCGCGGUAAUACGUAGGGUGCAAGCGUUGUCCGGAAUUAUUGGGCGUAAAGAGCUCGUAGGCGGUUUGUCGCGUCUGCUGUGAAAACCCGAGGCUCAACCUCGGGCCUGCAGUGGGUACGGGCAGACUAGAGUGCGGUAGGGGAGAUUGGAA